GACCCUUCGGGGUCAUCCGUCAAAUUUGGAACGUAACAGAGAAGAUUAGCAUGGCCCCUGCGUAAGGAUGACACGCAUUAAGCGAGAUGGUAGCUCAUUUUUU
rnacentral:snRNA from 11 species